rnacentral:rRNA from 1 species
GGCUUACCAAGGCGGCGAUCUGUAGCGGGUCUGAGAGGAUGAUCCGCCACACUGGAACUGAGACACGGUCCAGACUCCUACGGGAGGCAGCAGUGGGGAAUUUUGGACAAUGGGGGCAACCCUGAUCCAGCCAUGCCGCGUGAGUGAAGAAGGCCUUCGGGUUGUAAAGCUCUUUCGGCCGGGAAGAAAUCGCAUGGGCCAAUACCCUGUGUGGAUGACGGUACCGGAAUAAGAAGCACCGGCUAACUACGUGCCAGCAGCCGCGGUAAUACGUAGGGUGCGAGCGUUAAUCGGAAUUACUGGGCGUAAAGCGUGCGCAGGCGGUUUUGUAAGACAGGCGUGAAAUCCCCGGGCUUAACCUGGGAACUGCGUUUGUGACUGCAAGGCUAGAGUACGGCAGAGGGGGGUGGAAUUCCACGUGUAGCAGUGAAAUGCGUAGAGAUGUGGAGGAACACCAAUGGCGAAGGCAGCCCCCUGGGUCGAUACUGACGCUCAUGCACGAAAGCGUGGGUAGCAAACAGGAUUAGAUACCCUGGUAGUCCACGCCCUAAACUAUGUCAACUAGGUGUUGGGUGGGUAAAACCAUUUAGUACCGUAGCUAACGCGUGAAGUUGACCGCCUGGGGAGUACGGCCGCAAGGUUAAAACUCAAAGGAAUUGACGGGGACCCGCACAAGCGGUGGAUGAUGUGGAUUAAUUCGAUGCAACGCGAAAAACCUUACCUACCCUUGACAUGCCAGGAACUUGCCAGAGAUGGCUUGGUGCCCGAAAGGGAGCCUGGACACAGGUGCUGCAUGGCUGUCGUCAGCUCGUGUCGUGAGAUGUUGGGUUAAGUCCCGCAACGAGCGCAACCCUUGUCGUUAAUUGCCAUCAUUUGGUUGGGCACUUUAACGAGACUGCCGGUGACAAACCGGAGGAAGGUGGGGAUGACGUCAAGUCCUCAUGGCCCUUAUGGGUAGGGCUUCACACGUCAUACAAUGGUCGGUACAAAGGGUUGCCAAGCCGCGAGGCGGAGCCAAUCCCAGAAAGCCGAUCGUAGUCCGGAUUGCAGGCUGCAACUCGCCUGCAUGAAGUCGGAAUCGCUAGUAAUCGUGGAUCAGCAUGUCACGGUGAAUACGUUCCCGGGUCUUGUACACACCGCCCGUCACACCAUGGGAGCGGGUUCCGCCAGAAGUAGGUAGCCUAACCGCAAGGGGGGCGCUUACCACGGCGGGGUUCGUGACUGGGGUG